rnacentral:tRNA from 1 species
CAAAAAGUAGUUUAAGAAAAACAAAAGCUUUGGAAGCUUUAAUUUUAGCCAACUAACUUUUUGA